AUAUUCACCUGGCAAGGGAUACCAUGAUUAUAAAGGUGAUUUUUCAGAGUGAUAUGUAUCCAUUCCACUCCAGAUGUGCCGACCCCUGCAAUUUCCCCAUGUGUGGGAAACUUGACUGCAUAAUUUGUGGUAUUGGGGGACAGUAUUCAUGCUCUCCCCUG